rnacentral:rRNA from 1 species
AGAGUUUGAUCAUGGCUCAGGACGAACGCUGACGGUGUGCUUUAGGCAUGCAAGUCGAACGAGAAAGCCCUUCGGGGUGAGUAGAGUGGCGAACGGGUGAGUAACACGUGGGCAACCUGCCCCUCGCAGGGGGAUAACCGGAGGAAACUCCGGCUAAUACCCCGUAAGCUUUCAGGGUCGCAUGGCCCUGUAAGGAAAGGUAGCUUCGGCCAUCCGGCGAGGGAUGGGCCCGCGGUGCAUUAGCUAGUUGGUGGGGUAACGGCCCACCAAGGCGACGAUGCGUAGCUGGUCUGAGAGGAUGGUCAGCCACACUGGGACUGAGACACGGCCCAGACUCCUACGGGAGGCAGCAGCCAGGAAUCUUGGGCAAUGGGCGAAAGCCUGACCCAGCAACACCGUGUGGGCGAUGAAGGCCUUCGGGUCGUAAAGCCCUGUUGAUAGGGACGAAGGACGAAGGGUUAAUAGCCCCUAGCCUGACGGUACCUUUCGAGGAAGCCCCGGCUAACUACGUGCCAGCAGCCGCGGUAAUACGUAGGGGGCGAGCGUUGUCCGGAAUUAUUGGGCGUAAAGAGCGUGUAGGCGGUUCGGUAAGUCUGCCGUGAAAACCUGAGGCUCAACCUCGGGCGUGCGGUGGAUACUGCCGGGCUAGAGGACGGUAGAGGCGAGUGGAAUUCCCGGUGUAGCGGUGAAAUGCGCAGAUAUCGGGAGGAACACCAGUAGCGAAGGCGGCUCGCUGGGCCGUUCCUGACGCUGAGACGCGAAAGCUAGGGGAGCGAACAGGAUUAGAUACCCCCGUAGUCC